AGAGUUUGAUCCUGGCUCAGGAUGAACGCUAGCUACAGGCUUAACACAUGCAAGUCGAGGGGAAACGACAUCGAAAGCUUGCUUUUGAUGGGCGUCGACCGGCGCACGGGUGAGUAACGCGUAUCCAACCUGCCCAUCACUUGGGGAUAACCUUGCGAAAGUAAGACUAAUACCCAAUGACGUCUCUAGAAGACAUCUGAAAGAGAUUAAAGAUUUAUCGGUGAUGGGUGGGGAUGCGUCUGAUUAGCUUGUUGGCGGGGUAACGGGCCCACCAAGGCGACGAUCAGUAGGGGUUCUGAGAGGAAGGUCCCCCACAUUGGAACUGAGACACGGUCCAAACUCCUACGAGAGGCA
rnacentral:rRNA from 1 species